GCAUAACGCGAAGAACCUUACCCACCUUUGACAUGUACGGAAUCCUUUAGAGAUAGAGGAGUGCUCGAAAGAGAGCCGUAACACAGGUGCUGCAUGGCUGUCGUCAGCUCGUGUCGUGAGAUGUUGGGUUAAGUCCCGCAACGAGCGCAACCCUUGCCAUUAGUUGCUACGAAAGGGCACUCUAAUGGGACUGCCGGUGACAAACCGGAGGAAGGUGGGGAUGACGUCAAGUCCUCAUGGCCCUUAUAGGUGGGGCUACACACGUCAUACAAUGGCUGGUACAAAGGGUUGCCAACCCGCGAGGGGGAGCUAAUCCCAUAAAGCCAGUCGUAGUCCGGAUCGCAGUCUGCAACUCGACUGCGUGAAGUCGGAAUCGCUAGUAAUCGUGGAUCAGAAUGUCAUGGUGAAUACGUUCCCGGGUCUUGUACACACCG
rnacentral:rRNA from 1 species